AGGCAAGCUCAGAGCAGCUCCGGAGGAGGAGGAUGCGCCUCAGUCUCCACCAGCUGCUUUGCUGCACAGCUCUCCAAGCUCCUCGCUGCCCUGCCCUCCCUCCUGCUCAGCCCAUUUCCAGUCUGGUGGGCAUAGCAAUCCCGAUAAAUCUCAAGUCAGACCAGGUCAUUCCUGGGCUCAGAAGACUCAGAGGGCUCCCACUCAGCUCCAGCUCCCCAGAAGUCUCCAUGACACCGAUGAACUGGAUUGCUAGUAUGGAUUGCCAUAUGCUAAAUUCCACAUGCAUUGCUAAAAAAGAACUUCACGGUGCAUCAAAGCAUUGCCUCUAAGGAAAUCUCGUCAGAUGGGAGGAUUCCAGGCUGACAGCAGCACAAGCCAAAGACUUAAGAAACUCAGGUUGAGCUGAUGGAACAACUGAACAACAACAUUCUCGGGGCUUUCAGCUGCCUACUCUGCACUGUGCGACCCUAAGCCCAACUCAGCCUAGGUGCCUUCAGACAUGAGAGGUAAGCACCUGUAUAAACAGAUGAACUGCAGACUUACUGCAGAAUGACUGACCAGAGUGCAGAUACAACGCUUGAAUAAUGUGCGCACUUGAUAAAAGUGGACGUGGUUGCAUCUGAUGUGAAUCUUCAUAAUUCAGUACGUUGUGAGUUGUAAGGGACAUCCUUAAUGCACUCAUGUGAAACAAAAAACAUUUUCUGAAUUUUGGUGUCUGCAAUUUUUUGUCACUUUUGUGUAGACCAUCAUUCUUAACUGUCAUCAUUUUUGUUUCUGUUCCUGUCUCAUAAG
ensembl:lncRNA